UAUUUUAAGUUUUUAAAUUGUAUUACACUGAAAGACAGCGUCCAUCAGUGUAUAAAAGAUACGUUAACAACUGAAUUGGCGGACAAAUUUACAUGGUGGGGAAAAAAGGAUAAAAAAUUUCCCUUUUACAAUAUAGUUUUAUCCCAAGCAAUUUAUCAAGCUGUAGCGACAAAUCGAUAUUAUCCAAAGCCAACAAGAGAAGGAUUUCAAAGAGAGGUUGUCGGGUCGUUAAAAAUAGCCAAACAACGAAUUAUAAAUUCCAGGAGUAGACAUCCAGGAUUACCAGGAAACCGAUGAAGGUUAGAAGAAGCUGCAAAUGCAUUGUAUAAUGAAGAUGCUAAUCAUGAUUUGCAAGCCAAUAGGUUACUACAAAACAAUAAUAAACGCGAAAUGGAGGACUCAAGCGAUGACAGCGAUAAUUCUUCAUCGUCAAAUCUUGAUAAAAAAUAA